CCUACGGGAGGCAGCAGUGGGGAAUAUUGCACAAUGGGGGAAACCCUGAUGCAGCGACGCCGCGUGAGUGAAGAAGUCAUUCUUUAUGUAAAGCUCUAUCAGCAGGGGAGAAAAUGACGGUACCUGAGUAAGCCUCCCCGGCUCCCUACGUGCCAGCCGCCGCGGUACUACGUAGGGGGCAAGCUUUAUCCGGAUUUACUGGGUGUAAAGGGAGCGUAGACGGCAGUGCAAGUCUGGAGUGAAAGGCGGGGCUCAACCCCCGGACUGCUCUGGAAACUGUACGGCUGGAGUGCAGGAGAGGUAAGUGGAAUUCCUAGUGUAGCGGUGAAAUGCGUAGAUAUUAGGAGGAACACCAGUGGCGAAGGCGGCUUACUGGACUGUAACUGACGUUGAGGCUCGAAAGCGUGGGGAGCAAACAGGAUUAGAUACCCCUGUAGUC
rnacentral:rRNA from 1 species